UACGUAGGGUGCGAGCGUGUCCGGAAUUAUUGGGCGUAAAGAGCUCGUAGGCGGUGUGUCACGUCGAUCGUGAAAACUUACAGCUUAACUGUGAGCGUGCGGUCGAUACGGGCAUCACUGGAGUUCGGCAGGGGAGACUGGAAUUCCUGGUGUAGCGGUGAAAUGCGCAGAUAUCAGGAGGAACACCGGUGGCGAAGGCGGGUCUCUGGGCCGAUACUGACGCUGGAGGAGCGAAAGCGUGGGGAGCGAACAGG
rnacentral:rRNA from 1 species